rnacentral:rRNA from 1 species
UACGUAGGGGGCAAGCGUUGUCCGGAUUCAUUGGGCGUAAAGAGCGUGUAGGCGGCCAGGUAGGUCGGUUGUGAAAACUGGAGGCUACACCUCGACUGUCGGCGGAAACCAUCUGGCUAGAGUCCGGAAGAGGAGAAUGGAAUUCCCGGUGUAGCGGUGAAAUGCGCAGAUAUCGGGAAGAACACCCGUGGCGAAGGCGGUUCUCUGGGACGGUACUGACGCUGAGACGCGAAAGCGUGGGGAGCGAACAGG